AAACAUUUUGGAGCAUAUCAAUACAAAAUACGAAAUAGAAGAUCAGACGUCGUACCCUAGCAUAGUGCAUGUGAGGUUUAACUCAAUGGUGGCUCCACGCCGUGAUGAGUUCUCGACUCCAUCCACGGGUAGCCCUUUCCUACUCGAGCCCUCUCACCCUACCCAAGUGCUAGGUCGGCUCUGAAUUUCAUAUCAAACAGAUAGA
rnacentral:lncRNA from 1 species